UACGAAGGGGGCUAGCGUUGCUCGGAAUCACUGGGCGUAAAGCGCACGUAGGCGGAUUGCUAAGUCAGGGGUGAAAUCCUGGAGCUCAACUCCAGAACUGCCUUUGAUACUGGCGAGCUUGAGUCCGGGAGAGGUGAGUGGAACUGCGAGUGUAGAGGUGAAAUUCGUAGAUAUUCGCAAGAACACCAGUGGCGAAGGCGGCUCACUGGCCCGGUACUGACGCUGAGGUGCGAAAGCGUGGGGAGCAAACAGG
rnacentral:rRNA from 1 species